rfam:Lottia gigantea unplaced genomic scaffold LOTGIsca_1, whole genome shotgun sequence.
GCAUCGGUGGUCUAGUGGUAGAAUACUCGCCUGCCACGCGGGUGACCCGGGUUCGAUUCCCGGUCGAUGCA